rnacentral:SRP_RNA from 1 species
GCUGGGCGUGGUGGCUCACGCCUGUAAUCCCAUCACUUUGGGAGGCCGAGGCAGGUGGAUCACCUGAGGUCAGGAGUUCGAGACCAGCCUGGCCAACAUGGUGAAACCCCGUCUCUA